AACGCUGGCGGCGUGCUUAACACAUGCAAGUCGAACGGUAAGGCCCUUUCGGGGGUACACGAGUGGCGAACGGGUGAGUAACACGUGGGUGAUCUGCCCUGCACUUUGGGAUAAGCCUGGGAAACUGGGUCUAAUACCGGAUAGGACUACGCGAUGCAUGUCGUGUGGUGGAAAGCUUUUGCGGUGUGGGAUGGGCCCGCGGCCUAUCAGCUUGUUGGUGGGGUGAUGGCCUACCAAGGCGACGACGGGUAGCCGGCCUGAGAGGGUGUCCGGCCACACUGGGACUGAGAUACGGCCCAGACUCCUACGGGAGGCAGCAGUGGGGAAUAUUGCACAAUGGGCGCAAGCCUGAUGCAGCGACGCCGCGUGGGGGAUGACGGCCUUCGGGUUGUAAACCCCUUUCAGCACAGACGAAGCGUAAGUGACGGUAUGUGCAGAAGAAGCACCGGCCAACUACGUG
rnacentral:rRNA from 1 species